UCCAGGACUAUGCUCUAGGCAGCACUGAAGGACUCAGAGAGCAAAGGUUGGGACCUGGCCUGAUCAGCCAGCAGCCUGGAGGAAGGAGAGCCAAGAAAACAGGGCUUUGCCUUAGAUUGCCUCAUUCCUCUUGGCUGGGCCCCACGAGGAAAGCGGUGCUUGCUAAAAAAGCCGCAUUUUGAAGGCUUCAGAUAUGUGAGCAGCUACAAACCUGAAUGGUUGGCAGGUCCACACGGAGGAUUUUUAUCUCAAGUUCAAGGACUUUGAAAAUCUGGGACAGCAACUUGGCAACUUAGCGCUGACGGAACUUCUCCUCAACUUUCCCAGGCUUGGGCGACAGCCUUUGAGAGCCAAGAAGGUUUUCUUCAAGAUGCAGACUGCCGAGACGACUUUUUACUGCAGAAUUACCUACGGCCUGGCCUCAGGAAGCCACCAAACCACUGGUUCUUGACCUUGCUAACACUGAGACCCUUUAAUACAGUUCCUCAGUUCUUCAGCUUUCAUCAAGAAGCCUCUUAGUCAAGAGCCAGUCAGCUGACAGGAAAUAUCAUCAGGUAUUUGAAGAGAGAGGGGACAAGACAUAUUGACAAGAAUGAAGCUAUUGACCAGGCCACAGAGAGAAGGUGAUCCUGGCAGGAGCAGAAAUCCCGCAGGAAGCAGACAGAAGGGAACCAGUCCUUCCUUCCUCUGCCCGCCACAUCCUUACCAUGGAGAAGAUGUUCCCACAGAGCCAGCUGGCAAAGCAGAAUCGUGGGUGGCAGAGUCUCGGCUCCAGCAUCACACAGGCUAGGCUUGGAGCAGAGAGGCAAGAAGGGCUCCCCAAAGACUCUGUUUACUGAAAUACCCACAACCAUUCUCCAGUCUCUCUGUGGGAUUCGUCACUGGGCAGACUCUGUAAUGUAUCUGAUGGAUUUUUAGUAGACUUUGGUACUCCCCAUGGCAAGGUAGUAACAGCCACCUUCCUCCAUGGUCUUAUAGCAGAGAGAGAAUCUUAUUUCCAUUUUUGGUCAGAUUCUCUUCUUACUGAGUAGGCAGCAAUGGAGACCUCCUGACUAUGGCUCAUGGAUGCUGUGGGCACUGGCCUAUUUAUAGAGGCCAUCUUACCUCUCUAGUGAACUCCUCUGGGAUUCUGACUCAGAAGCCAUAGCCCACUCUCUCCUUGGACACUAGAAUAUCUCCCCGUAUUGGAAACACGGCUUCUCAUUGUUAAUAUUCCAACCCGACCCUUGAAAUCCUGCCCCUUGGGGCCGCCCUGUGUCCUGAUGUGAAAAGCUCAUUUUAAGGAAAAACUCCUCUCCUUCCUCCCCCUCCCUCUCUCUCUCCAUUCCCACGAGGUGUGCACACCUCUGCUUUUCCGACCUUCUCUUUCUCGUCUCCCUUUCCUAUCUUUCUCUUCAU